GGUGAGGUAUCCUAGCGGUGAGGUAUCCUAGCGGUGAGGUAUACUAGCGGUGAAGCAGCCCAGCGGUGAGGCAGCCUAGCGGUGAGGUAUCCUAGCGGUGAGGCAGCCUAGCGGUGAGGUAGCCUAGUGGUGAGGUAUCCUACCGGUGAGGUAUCCUAGCGGUGAGGUAGCCUAGCGGUGAGGUAUCCUAGCGGUGAGGUAUCCUAGCGGAGAGGUAUACUAGCGGUGAGGCAGCCCAGCGGUG